ACUACCGUAUGUUACUGCUAGACUGUCCCAAACGGCCUUAGCCGUCUGAUGUUGGGCGAAGUUCAUCACUAGUUUCCCUUCCAUAUUCUGUAGUAACCAAGAAAAAACAGCCAGAUCUGUUUCUUCCCAUUUGUAGUAAUUCGGAUCUGCAGGUUUUGGUGGUGGUGGUUGUCCGGUGAUGUGUCCGGACCUGCCCCUGCUGCCUAUGGCUACCUUCAUGAGGCGUGCCCAUAGGGGAUAAUUGUUGCCAUGUAAUUUGAAUCCGAGCACGACGUUUUCGGAGUUUCGCAUCAGAUUGGCUAUUUGUUGGGAAGGAAAAUGGAGGAAAAAAAAACGGCUUGGCUGCCUUGAUUUGGGUUGAGGUAAAAAAGGAACAAUGAGGAAAA